GUGGGGAAUCUUAGACAAUGGGGGAAACCCUGAUCUAGCCAUGCCGCGUGAGCGAUGAAGGCCUUAGGGUUGUAAAGCUCUUUCAGCUGGGAAGAUAAUGACUGUACCAGCAGAAGAAGCCCCGGCUAACUCCUUGCCAGCAGCCGCGGUAAUACGGAGGGGGCUAGCGUUGUUCGGAAUUACUGGGCGUAAAGCGCACGUAGGCGGACCGGAAAGUCAGAGGUGCAAUCCCAGGGCUCAACCUUGGAACUGCCUUUGAAACUCCUGGUCUUGAGGUCGAGAGAGGUGAGUGGAAUUCCGAGUGUAGAGGUGAAAUUCGUAGAUAUUCGGAGGAACACCAGUGGCGAAGGCGGCUCACUGGCUCGAUACUGACGCUGAGGUGCGAAAGCGUGGGGAGCAAACAGGAUUAGAAACCCCUGUAGUCC
rnacentral:rRNA from 1 species